UUUUGUGAGUGUUAGAAUUAAUAUAGGCGAAACAACAACCAGAAAAAAAGUCGGCGCUCGUGGCCACCGUCUUCGAUGUGGGAUGAACUCGGAUACACAGAAGCGCGGAUCUUACAAUGUGCAAGCAUCUCCAAGUAAUGGUGAAGUGGCUAUGGGAAAUGGUAGCAGUUUCAACGAAACCACCGCGUUAUCGUGGUCCUCGGGGGCUUCAUCAGCCCGCCGUCAUCCAAGCACUGACCAACCUGCCUACCGACGUCAGCUCCCUGCCCUGAAACCCUUGGCCAGCCUACCGUCCUCGGCACCUUGCCCAAUUCCUGUCCUGAGGGCAGUGCCUGUAAAUAAACUGUUUGAAGAUAACCGAGCGUCACCCAUCCAGGUCCACGAAAAUGCCUGUUUGUGAACAUUUAUUCGCAAAUAAACUGUCAUAAAAGUCAA